UACGAAGGGGGCUAGCGUUGCUCGGAAUCACUGGGCGUAAAGGGCGCGUAGGCGGCCGAUCAAGUCGGGGUGAAAGCCUGUGGCUCAACCACAGAAUUGCCUUCGAUACUGUUUGGCUUGAGACCGGAAGAGGUUAGUGGAACUGCGAGUGUAGAGGUGAAAUUCGUAGAUAUUCGCAAGAACACCAGUGGCGAAGGCGGCUGACUGGUCCGGUUUUGACGCUGAGGCGCGAAAGCGUGGGGAGCAAACAGG
rnacentral:rRNA from 1 species